rnacentral:rRNA from 1 species
AACGUAGGGGGCGAGCGUUGUCCGGAAUUACUGGGCGUAAAGGGCGCGUAGGCGGUUUAAUAAGUCUCAAGGUGAAAACUAUCGGCUUAACCGGUAGCCUGCCUGAGAAACUGUUAGACUUGAGGGCAGGAGAGGGGAGUGGAAUUCCCAGUGUAGCGGUGAAAUGCGUAGAUAUUGGGAGGAACACCAGUGGCGAAGGCGGCUCUCUGGCCUGUUACUGACGCUGAGGCGCGAAAGCGUGGGGAGCGAACGGG